UUACAAGUGAGGCUACCGAACGUUGGAAACAGCGGUUAGGAGCUUACACCCACCCGUGUUUACAUACUAUUGUUGCUUUGGCGGGCCGUGGCCUCCACYGCGGGCUCUGCUCGUGUGUGCCCGCCAGAGAACCAAACUCUGAAUGUUAGUGAUGUCUGAGUACUAUCUAAUAGUUAAAACUUUCAACAACGGAUCUCUUGGUUCUGGCAUCGAUGAAGAACGCAGCGAAAUGCGAUAAGUAAUGUGAAUUGCAGAAUUCAGUGAAUCAUCGAAUCUUUGAACGCACAUUGCGCCCUGUGGUAUUCCGCAGGGCAUGCCUGUUCGAGCGUCAUUUAACCACUCACGCCUAGCGUGGUAUUGGGGCACGCGGUCUCCGCGGCCCUCAAAAUUAGUGGCGGCGCCGGUGGGCUCUAAGCGUAGUACAUACUCCCGCUAUAGAGCUCCCCCGGUGGCUCGCCAGAACCCCCAAUUUUUACAGGUUGACCUCGGAUCAGGUAGGGAUACCCGCUGAACUUAAGCA
rnacentral:rRNA from 1 species